AAUAACCAAAUAGAAUACUUGGGCUAAGGGUCAAGUUAGUAAUUUUUCGUACAUCUCCCCCUCCCGGAGCCCAGGUAUCAUAUACGCCACCAAAAUAAAGAGCCUUGAAUACUAGAAGAAAAGCACCUAAACCUAACAAGAUUAAGUGAAUACCUAAAAUUGUGGUCAUUUUAUUUCUAUCUUUCCA
rnacentral:antisense_RNA from 1 species